rnacentral:rRNA from 1 species
UUGAACGCUGGCGGCAUGCCUUACACCUGCAAGUCGAACGGUAACAGGUCUUCGGAUGCUGACGAGUGGCGAACGGGUGAGUAAUACAUCGGAACGUGCCCGAUCGUGGGGGAUAACGGAGCGAAAGCUUUGCUAAUACCGCAUACGAUCUACGGAUGAAAGCAGGGGACCGCAAGGCCUUGCGCGGACGGAGCGGCCGAUGGCAGAUUAGGUAGUUGGUGGGAUAAAAGCUUACCAAGCCGACGAUCUGUAGCUGGUCUGAGAGGACGACCAGCCACACUGGGACUGAGACACGGCCCAGACUCCUACGGGAGGCAGCAGUGGGGAAUUUUGGACAAUGGGCGAAAGCCUGAUCCAGCCAUGCCGCGUGCAGGAUGAAGGCCUUCGGGUUGUAAACUGCUUUUGUACGGAACGAAAAGACUCUUUCUAAUAAAGAGGGUCCAUGACGGUACCGUAAGAAUAAGCACCGGCUAACUACGUG